rnacentral:sRNA from 15 species
UUUCGACAGUUCGUUGGACCGCUCGGAGUGUCUCCAAGCCUCGUGGAUUGCAUGCUCUCGUGCUGAGUAUGCCAUGAGGUCUGCUGAAGCCUGCUCGGCAUCCGCUUCAGCUGCCUCAUCGCCUUCCUCCUCGGCCUGUGCUGCCUUGGCCGCUUUGCCCUCGAAGGAGGAGGGUAG